rnacentral:rRNA from 1 species
UACGAAGGGGGCUAGCGUUGUUCGGAAUCACUGGGCGUAAAGCGCACGUAGGCGGCUUUCUAAGUCAGGGGUGAAAUCCUGGAGCUCAACUCCAGAACUGCCUUUGAUACUGGAGAGCUAGAGUCCGGAAGAGGUGAGUGGAACUGCGAGUGUAGAGGUGAAAUUCGUAGAUAUUCGCAAGAACACCAGUGGCGAAGGCGGCUCGCUGGUCCGGUACUGACGCUGAGGUGCGAAAGCGUGGGGAGCAAACAGG